AGCAGCCGCGGUAAUUCCAGCUCCAAUAGCGUAUAUUAAAGUUGUUGCAGUUAAAAAGCUCGUAGUUGAAUUUCGGGAUCAGUACGCCGGUCGUGCCUUCGGUAUGCACUGGUGUCACUGGUUUCUCCCUUCUGAAGAACCAUCAUGCCAUUAAGUUGGUGUGGCGGGAAAUCAGGACUGUUACUUUGAAAAAUUGAGUGUUUAAAGCAGGCUCGCGCUUGAAUACAUUAGCAUGGAAUAAUGAAAUAGGACGUUUGACCCUAUUUUGUUGGUUUCUAGGGUCGACGUAAUGAUUAAUAGGGAUAGUUGGGGGCAUUAGCAUUCAAUUGUCAGAGGUGAAAUUCUUGGAUUUAUUGAAGACUAACUACUGCGAAAGCAUUUGCCAAGGAUGUUUUCAUUAAUCAAGAACGAAAGUUAGGGGAUCGAAGGCGAUCAGAUACCGUCGUAGUCUUAACCAUAAACUAUGCCGACUAGGGAUCGGAUGAUGUUAAUUUUUAAUGACUCAUUCGGCGUAC
rnacentral:misc_RNA from 1 species